ACUCUUAUAAAGCUAGAAUUCUAACCUUAUACCGUUAGCCGGUUANGGANCAGUCUCUGGUGGGCAGUUUGACUGGGGCGGUCGCCUCCUAAAAGAUAACGGAGGCGCACAAAGGUUUCCUCAGAUCGGUCAGAAAUCGAUCGUAGAGCGUAAAGGCAUAAGGAAGCUUGACUGCGAGACCUACAAGUCGAGCAGAGACGAAAGUCGGUCUUAGUGAUCUGACGGUUCCGAGUGGAAGGGCCGUCACUCAACGGAUAAAAGUUACUCUAGGGAUAACA
rnacentral:rRNA from 1 species